GCCCAACCACACACAACCAAACAACCAAAAAAAUUUACUUCACUACAAAUUAAG
rnacentral:tRNA from 1 species